rnacentral:rRNA from 1 species
AGAGUUUGAUCCUGGCUCAGGAUGAACGCUAGCGGCAGGCUUAACACAUGCAAGUCGAGGGGUAGCAGGUUUAAAUUUCGGUUUAAAUGCUGACGACCGGCGCACGGGUGCGUAACGCGUAUACAAUCUACCUUAUACUGGAGGAUAGCCCUAAGAAAUUGGGAUUAAUACUCCAUAAUAUUAUUGGUCCGCAUGGAUUGAUUAUUAAAGCUACGGCGGUAUAAGAUGAGUAUGCGUCUGAUUAGCUAGUUGGUGAGGUAACGGCUCACCAAGGCUACGAUCAGUAGGGGGCCUGAGAGGGUUAUCCCCCACACUGGUACUGAGACACGGACCAGACUCCUACGGGAGGCAGCAGUGAGGAAUAUUGGUCAAUGGGCGCAAGCCUGAACCAGCCAUGCCGCGUGAAGGAAGAAUGUCCUAUGGAUUGUAAACUUCUUUUAUUUGGGAAGAAACCCCUCUACGUGUAGAGGUCUGACAGUACCAAAUGAAUAAGGACCGGCUAACUCCGUGCCAGCAGCCGCGGUAAUACGGAGGGUCCAAGCGUUAUCCGGAAUCAUUGGGUUUAAAGGGUUCGCAGGCGGUUUAUUAAGUCAGUGGUGAAAUCUCGAGGCUCAACCUCGAAACUGCCAUUGAUACUGAUAGACUUGAAUAUAGUUGGAGUAGGCGGAAUGUGUAGUGUAG